rnacentral:rRNA from 1 species
CAAUAGCGUAUAUUAAAGUUGUUGCAGUUAAAAAGCUCGUAGUUGAAUUUCGAACCGCACAGGACGUCCGCCAAGUGCGCGACGGACUGCCGCGUUUCAUUCUGGGCGGCCUCGCCUAACGGCGGUGCGCUUGCCCUCGUUUACUGUGAGAAAAUCCAAACGCUUCAAGUAGGCACACCGCUUGGAGGUCUUAGCAUGGAAUAAUGAGAUAGGACUCUGUCGCUAUUUUGUUGGUUGCGCUUCAGGGUAAUGAUUAACAGGGACAGUUGGGGGCAUUCAUAUUCAAUUGUCAGAGGUGAAAUUCUUGGAUUUAUUGAAGAUGAACUACUGCGAAAGCAUUUGCCAAGGAUGUUUUCAUUAA